AAGUAUCUCCGAAUCCUCACGGAGAAGAUAGGAGUAACGGCUGGUUGGCACAGCCAUCGACGUUCUUGUUUGACAAGGAAACUGGUGUGUUCGCACCUCAAGAACACGUAACGUCGUAAACCACAAUAUCCCAACGGCGGUCGGGAAUCAUCGCCCUUCAGGGCCGGGA
rnacentral:ncRNA from 1 species